ACGCUCGACACCUACUGGAGGCAGCAGUAGGGAAUCUUCCACAAUGGACGCAAGUCUGAUGGAGCAACGCCGCGUGAGUGAAGAAGGUUUUCGGAUCGUAAAGCUCUGUUGUUGGUGAAGAAGGAUAGAGGUAGUAACUGGCCUUUAUUUGACGGUAAUCAACCAGAAAGUCACGGCUAACUACGUGCCAGUAGCCGCGGUAAUCUGAGCGGGCUGGCAAGGC
rnacentral:rRNA from 1 species